AUAUGAGUUUGAUCCUGGCUCAGAAUGAACGCUAGUAGUAUGCCUAACACAUGCGAGUCUAACGAAAGUUUUUUUCGUGGCGAACGGGUGAGGAGAAAACAGAAGAACUGCCUUUUUGAUUGGCACAAAGCUUAUUUUAUAAGUAAAAAUUCCAAAUAAUCAAAGACUUUAGUCGCAAAGAGAUGUUUCUGUUGAAGAUUAGGUAGUUGGUAAUUUAUAAGCUUACCAAGCCUACGAUCUUUAGUUGGUCUGAGAGGAUGAUCAACCACACUGGAACUGAAACAAGGUCCAGGCUAACAUGUUGGCCAGCAGUGUGGAAUAUUGGACAAUGAACGAAAGUUUGAUCCAGCAAUACUACAUGGGUGAUGACUGCUUAUUAAAGUUGUAAAGCUCUUUUAUUAAAGAAGAUAAUGACAUUAUUUAAAGUAAUUUAGUCCCGGCAAAUACUCGUGCCAGCAGCCGCGGUAAUACGGGAGGGGCGAGCGUUAUUCGGCUUAAUUGGGCGUAAAGGGUCCGUAGACUGUAAAAUAAGUUUUUUGUUAAAUCUUAAAACCUAAUUUUAACUUUUGCAAUUAAUACUAUUUUACUUCGAGUUUGGUACAGAAAAGCAGAAUUUUAUAAGAAAGGGUGAAAUCUGUAGAUAUAUAAAGGAAUGCCAUCAGCGAAGGCGGCUUUUUGGUACAAACUGACGUUGAGGGACGAAAAUAUGGGUAGCAAACAGGAUUAGAGACCCUGGUAGUCCAUAUUGUAAAUUCUGGGUACUGUGAUUUAAUUUUUAAAAGUUGGAUCUUUCAAGCUAACGCAAUAAGUACCCCGCCUGAAGAGUAUGAUCGCAAGGUUGAAACUCAAAGGAAUUGACGGGGGUCUAACACUAGUGGUGGGGCAUGUGGUUUAAUGCGAUAAUCCGCGCAAAACCUUACCAAUUCUUGACAUAUUAAUAAUUAAUUUUACAAUUUAUUUUUGUUUGGAUUAUUAUUAUUACAGGUGUUGCACGACUGUCGUCAGCUCGUGUCGUGAGAUGUUUGGUUAAGUCCUGAAACGGGCGUAACUCUUAUCUAUAAUAGAGACAAACUAAGGGUUUUUGCUCUUAAUUGCUUUAAAGAGACAAUUAACGAUAAGUUAAUGGAAGGUAAGAAUUAAGUCAAGUCAAUGUGACCCUGAUGAAUUGGGCUACACACGUGCUACAAUGAAAAUUACAAAGAGUAACAAAAAAGAAAUUUUAAGUUAAUCUGUAAAAAUUUUCCCAGUUCGGAUUAUAGGCUGCAACUCGUCUAUAUGAAGGUGGAAUCACUAGUAAUCGCAAAUCAGAACGUUGCGGUGAACAUGUAACUUGACCUUGUACACACCGCCCGUCACUUGCAAAGAGUUAGUUUCGCUUGAAGAUUUUAAUAAAAUCUAUUGAGAGACUGAUGAUUUGGAUGAAGUCGUAACAAGGUAGCUGUACGGGAACGUGUAGCUGGAAUAC
rnacentral:rRNA from 1 species